CGCCUGCAGAGCCGGCUGCGGUGCAGCGGUAGCUGUCCGGUUGCUUGGUGCCGCUCCGGACUUUCCUAUUCCCGAGCCUACUGCUGACCUCUAAGAGGGAAAGCAGGAAGUGAUCUGACAGAGUGGUGCUGGUGCUCAGUGCCUGCUGCGGCCCUGGGGCAUUCAGGCUGCGGCCUGUUGGAUAUAGUCAAGGAGGCGCCCACACUCCUGACAGGAUAAGAUGGCGGCGAUGGCGCCUGGAGGUGGUAGCAGUGGUGGCGGCGUGAACCCGUUCCUCAGCGAUUCUGAUGAGGACGAGGACGAGGUAGCUGCUACCGAGGAGCGGCGGGCAGGACUUCGGCUGGGUGCCGGAGGUGGUCUAGAUCCUGGCUCUGCGGGCUCGCUAUCGCCCCAGGAUCCGGUGGCCUUGGGGGGCUGUGCUCGGCCAGGGCUCUCUGGGGAGGCGUCCGCAGCUACGAUCUCCCUGGGGGUUACAGGUGAGACCCCAGCCCGCUUGUCAAUUGAUGCGAUCGCGGCUCAGCUGUUGCGGGAUCAAUAUUUGCUGACUGCCUUGGAGCUGCACACAGAGCUGUUAGAGAGCGGCCGCGAGCUGCCUCGGCUGCGCGACUACUUCUCCAAUCCUGGCAACUUCGAGAGACAGAGUGGGACCCCGCCGGGGAUGGGAGCGCCGGGGGUACCCGGAGCAGCAGGCGUUGGCGGCGCUGGAGGUCGGGAACCGAGCACAACGUCGGGCGGGGGCCAGCUCAAUCGAGCUGGCAGCAUCAGUACUCUUGAUUCUUUAGACUUUGCAAGAUAUUCAGAUGAUGGUAACAGGGAAACUGAUGAGAAAGUGGCAGUCCUGGAGUUUGAACUACGGAAAGCCAAGGAGACCAUUCAGGCCCUCCGAGCCAACCUGACAAAGGCUGCAGAACAUGAAGUUCCUUUACAGGAACGAAAAAAUUACAAAUCAAGUCCUGAAAUUCAGGAGCCAAUCAAACCUCUUGAAAAGAGAGCUCUAAACUUCUUAGUCAAUGAAUUUUUGUUGAAGAAUAACUACAAACUUACAUCAAUAACCUUUUCAGAUGAAAAUGAUGAUCAGGAUUUUGAAUUAUGGGAUGAUGUAGGAUUAAACAUUCCAAAACCUCCAGACUUAUUACAACUUUACCGAGAUUUUGGAAAUCAUCAAGUGACUGGGAAAGAUCUUGUGGAUGUGGCCAGUGGAGUAGAAGAAGAUGAAUUAGAGGCUCUCACACCAGUUUUAGACAACCUUCCUCCAACCCUUGAAACUCCUCCAUCUAUAGAAAAAUCCUUGAUAGUACAGAAAUUAGAAGAUAAAAUUAGUUUAUUAAAUAGUGAGAAAUGGUCAUUGAUGGAGCAAAUCAGAAGACUUGAAAGUGAAAUGGACUUCCUCAAAAAUGAGCACUUCGCCAUCCCAGCAGUUUGUGACUCUGUUCAACAAUCCUUGGAUCAAUCUCCCCGUAAAGACUCUGUAGAUGGUGAACAGAGUCCAAUUAUAAAUACUUCAGACAAGGAGAAAAAUGAGGAUAUUCAUCUUUCAGUAUCACAAGAAAUUGAUUCCACUACUCCUAAAAAGAACUCAGAUUCUUUUCCUAGGAGAGAAAAAGAAGGAAUGCCAUCAUCUUCCCCAUCAAGUAAAAAAACAAUUCAUUUUGAUAAACCUAAUAGGAAAUUGUCUCCUGCUUUCCAUCAAGCACUACUCUCUUUUUGUCGAAUGUCGGCAGAUAGUCGUUUAGGAUCAGAGGUAUCUCGAAUCGCAGACAGUGAAAAAAGUGUUAUGUUAAUGCUGGGACGCUGCCUGCCACACAUUGUACCUAAUGUGCUAUUGGCAAAGAGGGAGGAGUUGAUCCCCCUCAUAUUGUGUACAGCAUGCCUGCAUCCUGAGCCUAAAGAGAGAGAUCAGCUUCUGCACAUACUUUUCAAUUUGAUCAAGAGGCCAGAUGAUGAGCAAAGGCAAAUGAUACUGACAGGUUGUGUGGCAUUUGCACGUCAUGUUGGACCUACACGUGUGGAAGCUGAACUUUUACCUCAGUGUUGGGAACAGAUUAAUCACAAAUACCCAGAAAGACGACUGCUGGUUGCAGAAUCCUGUGGAGCAUUGGCACCGUACCUUCCAAAAGAAAUUCGUAGUUCCUUGGUUCUCUCAAUGUUGCAACAGAUGCUAAUGGAAGAUAAAGCAGAUUUGGUAAGAGAAGCUGUCAUCAAAAGCCUUGGAAUCAUUAUGGGAUACAUUGAUGAUCCAGACAAGUAUCAACAGGGUUUUGAAUUGUUGCAGUCAGCAUUGGGUGAUCCCUCAGAAAGAGUAGUUAGUGCAACACAUCAAGUAUUUUUACCAGCGUAUGCUGCCUGGACUACAGAACUUGGAAAUUUACAGUCUCAUCUUAUACCUACACUACUGAACAAGAUUGAAAAGCUUCUCAGGGAAGGAGAACAUGGUCUGGAUGAACAUAAGCUCCAUAUGUAUCUUUCUGCCUUGCAGUCCUUGAUCCCUUCUCUUUUUGCAUUAGUGCUACAGAAUGCGCCUUUCUCCAGCAAAGCCAAGCUUCAUGGUGAAGUGCCACAGAUAGAAGUGACUAGGUUCCCUCGGCCUAUGUCACCUCUUCAAGAUGUGUCCACUAUUAUUGGAAGCCGUGAGCAAUUAGCAGUGCUACUACAACUUUAUGAUUACCAGCUGGAACACGAGGGCACAACAGGAUGGGAAAGUUUACUUUGGGUAGUCAAUCAAUUGUUGCCACAACUUAUAGAAAUAGUUGGCAAAAUUAAUGUUACUUCAACUGCCUGUGUCCAUGAAUUCUCCAGAUUUUUCUGGCGCCUUUGCCGGACAUUUGGCAAAAUUUUUACAAACACUAAGGUAAAGCCUCAGUUCCAAGAGAUUUUAAGACUAUCUGAAGAAAACAUUGAUUCCUCAGCAGGAAAUGGGGUUCUCACUAAAGCUACAGUCCCCAUUUAUGCAACAGGAGUCCUCACAUGUUAUAUUCAGGAAGAAGAUCGAAAACUGUUAGUUGGAUUCUUAGAAGAUGUAAUGACUCUGCUUUCAUUAUCUCAUGCUCCUCUUGACAGCCUGAAGGCUUCUUUUGUGGAACUGGGUGCAAAUCCAGCCUACCAUGAGUUACUGUUAACUGUUUUGUGGUAUGGUGUUGUCCAUACUUCUGCACUCGUGAGAUGUACUGCUGCUAGAAUGUUUGAGCUGUUGGUGAAGGGGGUGAAUGAAACUCUGGUAGCUCAGAGGGUUGUUCCUGCUCUCAUUACUCUCUCCAGCGACCCUGAAAUCUGACUCUUCGAGGCAUGAGUGAAGCGUUAGUUGACAAGCGGGUUGCUCCGGCCCUUGUUACCUUGUCCAGUGAUCCUGAAUUCUCUGUCAGGAUUGCGACAAUUCCAGCCUUUGGCACCAUUAUGGAAACGGUUAUUCAGAGAGAGUUGCUGGAAAGAGUGAAAAUGCAGUUGGCUUCUUUCCUGGAAGACCCGCAGUAUCAAGACCAGCAUUCUUUGCAUACGGAGAUCAUAAAAACAUUUGGUAGAGUUGGACCUAAUGCAGAACCCAGGUUCCGAGAUGAGUUUGUUAUACCACAUUUACAUAAGUUAGCUUUGGUGAACAACUUACAAAUUGUGGAUUCUAAAAGACUGGAUAUUGCUACCCAUCUUUUUGAAGCCUACAGUGCACUUUCCUGUUGCUUCAUUUCAGAAGAUUUAAUGGUAAAUCACUUUCUACCUGGCCUCAGAUGUUUACGAACUGACAUGGAACAUCUCUCUCCAGGGCAUGAGGUUAUUUUAAGUUCCAUGAUAAAAGAAUGUGAACAAAAAGUAGAAAAUAAGACUGUCCAGGAGCCUCAAGGCUCAAUGUCAAUUGCUGCAAGCUUAGUGAGUGAAGAUACAAAGACCAAGUUUUUGAACAAAAUGGGCCAGCUGACAACAUCAGGUGCCAUGCUGGCUAAUGUGUUUCAGAGAAAGAAGUAGAAGCGGGAAGGAAGCCCCCAGGAAACACUAAGAUGGACCUCAGCAGACUGGUUCCUUGUACUUGAAGUACUUGCCUUUUUUAUUUCUUUAGUUUUAUGUUCUUCUGUUAUAAUUUUAUCUUAACUUCCAAAGAUAUUUGCACUGCUUUUGAUUUUUGCUGUGUAUCUGUUGAUUUUGGAAAAACAACUGUGGUAAUAGAAAAUUAAUUUGAUGGCCUGUACCAAGCCCCUCUUCUAUGUUAUCUUUGGGAAUAAUUUUUUAUAUAUAGAUAUAUAUAUGUAUAUGUAUAUAUAUAGUGAAAGUUUUGUUUAUUUCUUUUUUGUUUUAUUUUUGGAUGGGAUAAAUAACAAAUAUCUGUAUUAUACUCUAAGCUAUUACAAUGGUACUUAAAAUAAUGUAAAUUUGAGGUCAUUGUUAUAAAGUAAUAAAAGUGGAGAUUACUUAAGUAUUUAAAUUAUGAAAGAAUAAUGCAAACUUUUUAUUGUUUCUUAACUGACUAGAAAGAGCCACCAGCAUUACUCUGUGCCUUUUGGACUUCAGUUUGUGUAUUCUGUAGGGAAUUAUGUGCAUUCCAUUCACAUGGUAUUUCUUUAGGCUGCUGUGAUGAAUUUGAAUUACAAAACCUACAGUAAACAGGUGAUGAAACGUUCAACAUUUCAGAACUCUCAUUAAUAUACUUUAAGUGCUAUUUAAACCUCCCUAGGAAUUAAAUGCAUAUAAUGGACUCACCUAAGGGAAGACAGCACUUACCCAUGGGGAGUGGUAACCAAGGUGAAUUUUACAAAGUGUAUAAUAUAUUUAAAUGCUCAAAAAAUAAAUGUAACUGAGAAGAGAUAACGUAAAUUUUCUCCCAAGUUGAAAUACAGAAGAUAGUAUGGUUUGAAUCUAAAAUGUAUCACUUGUCUAUGUAAAACAUUUCACAAAAGAUGUUUUCUGAUUAUUUUAACUUUACAAGUUAGCUUUACAUUUUGUGUUGCAAAGCGUUAAGGACUUUUAGGGGUUGCUUUUUCCCCCUAAACAAAAAAUAACAUUGGUUAUAUUAUUAUCAUUUUGUCCCCUAAAGUCAGUGACUAUUGUGUUUGGUAUAUUUUACAUAGUCUUUAAUUAAUGUAUGGGGAUUUGAUAGUCAUCUGUACAGUAAUACAACUUGAAGUAGAAAAGAGAGGUGGACAUAGGAAAGGGAUAUUGGUUUGAGGGGUUAAUGUGAGGCCUUUUUGAAAAAUAAAUAUUUUGAUACAGAGAAUUCUUGUUUGAGCACAGUUUAUACACAUAGGAGACCCUCAUGUUUGUUUUAUGGGCUGGUUUGAUACACUGGGAACAUAGCUGGAUUACACUUACUUUCUGGGAAAGCUAGCUUACCAUACAUUCAUGCUUAUAAAAAAAUUUGUUAUAGACAAACCCAUUUAAAAAAUUCAUUCUGAAGUUGUUUCUUUUCCUACAGUGAAAUAAUUGUUGACUAGUCUUUCCAGAAACUGUUGGAUUCUAGGCAUUCCUGAGAAACUGAAAGUGGCUACCUUUCAUGUCAAAAUGUUGAUCUAUUAUAAAUAAAAUGUUUUUUCAUAUUU